AUUGAGCGCUGGCGGCGUGCCUAACACAUGCAAGUCGAGCGGUAACAGGUGUAGCAAUACAUGCUGACGAGCGGCGAACGGGUGAGUAAUGCUUCGGAAUCUACCCAAUGGUGGGGAAUAACCAGCCGAAAGGUUGGCUAAUACCGCAUACGUCCCACGGGAGAAAGCAGGGGAUCGCAAGACCUUGCGCCAAUGGAUGAGCCGAAGUCAGAUUAGCAGUUGGUAGGGUAACGGCC
rnacentral:rRNA from 1 species